rnacentral:rRNA from 1 species
GAUGAACGCUGGCGGCGUGCCUAAUACAUGCAAGUCGAGCGAACAGACGAGGAGCUUGCUCCUCUGACGUUAGCGGCGGACGGGUGAGUAACACGUGGAUAACCUACCUAUAAGACUGGGAUAACUUCGGGAAACCGGAGCUAAUACCGGAUAAUAUAUUGAACCGCAUGGUUCAAUAGUGAAAGACGGUCUUGCUGUCACUUAUAGAUGGAUCCGCGCCGCAUUAGCUAGUUGGUAAGGUAACGGCUUACCAAGGCAACGAUGCGUAGCCGACCUGAGAGGGUGAUCGGCCACACUGGAACUGAGACACGGUCCAGACUCCUACGGGAGGCAGCAGUAGGGAAUCUUCCGCAAUGGGCGAAAGCCUGACGGAGCAACGCCGCGUGAGUGAUGAAGGUCUUCGGAUCGUAAAACUCUGUUAUUAGGGAAGAACAAAUGUGUAAGUAACUAUGCACGUCUUGACGAUACCUAAUCAGAAAGCCACGGCUAACUACGUG